CACCGGGGGCCGCCCGGGGCUGCUCGGCAUUGGUGCGGAAACCCGAGCCCGGAGUCGCUCCCUCGCGCUGUCUCCUCCUCCUCCUCUGCGGGGGAAACCGCUGCACCCAAACCGGGAGCAGCUGCGAGCAGGGGGCAGGGCGCGGGCUGAAAGGCGAGCCGAAGGUUCAAACCUCCGCGGCGCGGGCGGGGGCGGAGGGCAACAGCAGGACGGCCCCCAGGUCCCGAGAAGGCGUGGCAGUGGUCGGCCCAGGUGUCAGGGAACCUGGCCUGAGACCCCUGCAUUUCCAAGCUUCUUUCCUGGUCAGAGGAAACGUGAACCAAAGGUAGUUCAGCUAAACAGACCACCUCGAGCCGGGUUCGAGGCAUCUGUCUCGAGGGCAAGACAGUAUUUUUUGCACGACAGAAAGUUACACCAUCCAUUUUUUUCCGUGGGGGAAAUCAUUGCGCCCCUUCCCCCAAAAUGUCGCGCAAGAAGAAUGACCUCCCGCUACCCAGACCUUCGCCAGUGUCCCCCACCCCACCCCCACCCGGGCGCUGGGUGUGGAUUGGGCGGAGGGAGGCUAUAUGGGAGCUUAAAGCAUGAGGUCAUGAGCGGAGGAGACUGCUGCCAAAAGCACCCGAGGUUUUUGUGUUUUUUGAGGGGUAACGGUUCUCCAUCUUCAGCAGUGGAAAGUCCUCCCGCCUACCCUACCAAUUCUGGGGCACGUGGACCACAGAGUCCCUGAAAAGAGGAGGGGACCCGGGCUAUUUCGCUUAAUGAGCGUUUGGCGCGUGCCCAGCCCUUUAUGGAGCCCUUCCACAUAAGCAAAGAAAGCCGAGGGACAGCGCACAGUGUUGCGGCGACUGGGAAAGGCUUCAGAUGCUCGAUGUCCCCCGCCCUCUUUCCUCAGUCCUCGGUCAUCUUCCAAGUGGGCUGCUUUCUGCGAUAGCUUCCUGUCCCCCUCCGACCCAUUCCUCCCAAGCGACUAAAACUCCUAAUGACAUUAUUUUAAAGCCUUCAAAACCCUCUUCCAUUGCCCUUAGAAUAAAGCCAAGUUGUGAUUUCGCCUCUACAGACCUCUCUACCCGCCCAGCUCUUCCUCGGAUAUUGUAAGCCCCGUCAAGCUUUCUUUGUUCAAGGGGUGGAGGAGGGGGCGCCUAACCUUUCCCCUUCCACCUCUUCUUACUAACUCCUGCUGGACCUUCAAGAUUUGACUCAACUGUCAGUAACUUCAAGAUGCCUUCCUGAGGGUACACCCAGGUCUCUACCUCAGGGGAAAAGACCUACCCUAGGUCUCCUGGCAGCAGCGCUGUGGCCGGAGUUGGCCCCAGUGGCGGCCUUUUUCCAAGCGGAGGAGGAACAGCCAAGCUAAGCUUGACCACCGUCACCGCCCAGGGACCUGAGCGGGAGCUGGCUAGGACAAAACCUCAAAACGGGACUUGGGAAAACCGCACCACCCAGAAAACUCAGCCCCUCCACCUCCCUCCCAGCACACACACACACCCUCUUAAUCUAAAACUCCUCCCCGGGGCAGAUAAGGAACCUAUUCGGAGAGUUAAGUUAAUUGCCCCAGGUCAAUGUGGAAAUUCACAGCCUGUCUUUCCAGCUCCUAAACCAGAAGCUGCAGAGAAGGAAGGAUUUGGGAUUUGCGGCUACACAGCCAAGGACGCUUUUGUCAUCUUCAAAGGACCCCCUACACCCUACACGCUUGGCCCGCUCUGUUCAUUGCCAACAGAGUGAUGGUAAUGCCAGAUGGUUAGCUCUGCAGGCUCUGACCUUAGGCAAAUUACUUAACCGCUUGGUUCAGUUUCUUUGCCUGUAAAAUGGGAAUGAUAGUAUUCAUAUCAUAGUGUUAUUGUGAGGUUUAAAUGAGUUAUUUUAUGUAAGGCCUUAGAGUUUAAAGCAAGUUACUAAUAUUUGUGAAUAGGGUUGUGUAUCCUCCCCCGCCCCGCCCCCCUCAGAUCCUCAGAGUCUUAGCUGAUUGAAGCAUCAGAAAAAUAUCUAUGGGGCCAGGCGGGGUGGCUCACACCUGUCAUCCCAGCGCUUUGGGCGGAUGAGGUAGGCGGAUCGCUUGAGCUGAGGAGUUUGAGACCAGCCUGGACAAUGUAGAGAGACCCUCUCCACGUUUAUUAUUAAAAAAUAAAAAAUUAGCCAGGCAUAGUGGUGCAUGCCUGUAGUCCCAGCUACUGAGGAGGCUAAGGCAGGAGGAUGGCUUGAGCCCACGGGGUUGAGGCUGCAGUGAGCAGAUUGCCCCACUGCACUCCAGCCUGGGUGACAGCGCAAGACUCUGUCUCAAAAAAUAAAAUUAUAUAUAUAGAGAGAGGGAGAGAGAGAGAGAGAAAGAGAGCACCAAAAGGACUGGGAAACACCGGCAGAUGCACAGACAAUGCAUCCCUGAUUUUACCAAUAGACUUGACUCCCAACAAUGCAUACUCUUGAAGGCAAUCCACAGGUUGAAUAAACCAAGUCCAUGAGCGCUGGGUCUGGAAUCUUUCUACAAUCAGGGUCAGAAGGAGGGUGACUGAAAUUAAAAUAUUAGCUUGGAUCUUUGAAAUCAGAGUCAGGCUGAAAAAGUCCCAAUCUUAGUUCAAAACCUGUCCUGCAUGACUGAAGCCCUCCUAGGGCUGCACAAAGUAUAAUGGAAUUAUUAUUAUUAUUAUCAUUAGAUCCUAGUCUUACCAUUCUCAGCACUUAUCCCCAUAGCAAAAGACCAUUUUUUAAUGUAAUUUAUUCUUUUGGAAUAGGUUGAAUGCAUUCACAUGGUUCCAAAUUCAAAUAAACAGCAAGAAGUCUCCCUCCCACCCUGUCUGCCACCCACUUGGUUUUCCUUCUCUGGAGGCAACCUGGGUUAGUGGUCAGAAGAUGCAUUUAACUGUUUUCCAGCUGAGGCCUUGUGAGAACUCCUCGGACACCAAUUUAAAUCUUUAUGUCCAGAACUCCUUUCUCCAAUCCAGAGAUGAGGUUCCACCAUUCUUGCCCAGACUGGUUUCGAACUCCUGGACUCAAGCGAUUUGCCUGCCUCGGCCUCAAAAAGUGCUGGGAUUACAUGCAUGAGCCACCACACCCGGACCCUCUCUCUUAAAUAGUGGCCCUUUUGCCUCUCUGCAACACAGGAAAAAUUCUGUUAGCCUGCAUCAGAAGGAGUGGCAUGGAGGCUUUGGAGUUAAGAAGAUUUAAUUCAAAUUAUGUGUCCGGUGCCUGCCAGCAAUGAGACCUUGGUAAGGUUUCUUAACCUCUCUGAGCUGGGACCAUACCUUCUGCGUUGGUUUAAUAUAAAGGUUAAAUGCAUGUAAAUAAAUGACUUCUAAAAUAAAUAACAUUCUAAAAUGUUAGUAACAACUAAAUACAAUAUUUAGAUCUUGUGAGGAUUUGAUUUGAAUAAAUAAGAUUUUUUUAAAAGACAUUUUUGAGACAAAAUGUAGACUAUCUGAUAUUAAGAAAUUAAUCACUUUUUCAGAUAUGAUAAUGGCAUUGCAGUUUUUUUUAAGUUCUUAUCUAUUACAGAUACAUAAUGAGGCAUUUUGAGUGAAAAUAUAUCUAGGAUUUGCUUUCCAAUACUCCAUCCCCUCCCCAUCAAAACACUAAAUAAAUGAAACAAGAUUAGUGAAAUACGGAAAAUUGUUGAAGUUAUUCAUUAUUCCAUUUCCCAUAUGGAACUUUCCAUACUAGUUUCCCUACUGCUGUUGAAUAUUUGACAUGUUUCAAAUACAUUUGAAAUAAAUUUAUUGUCUGAGAUGAUCAGGUUGAAAAAUAAUAAAAUGAAAUAAAUUUAAAAGUAAAAUAAACAUAACCCUUUUAAGCAUUAAAAUUAAAAAUUAUGAGGCUUGUUGAAUUAUUACUGUUAUAAAUAAUUACAUACAUGUAUUUUUGAAACAGUCUUGCUCUUUCACCCAGGCUGCAGUGCAGUGGCAUAAUCACAGUUCACUGCGGCCUCAACCUCCCAGGCUCAGGUGAUCCUUGCACGUCUGCCUCCCAAGUAGCUGGGACUGCAGGUGUGCACCACCAUGCCUGGCUAAAUUUUUCUCUUUUGUAGAGACGGGUUUUGCGAUUUUGCCCACACUGGUCUUAAAGUCCUGGG
rnacentral:lncRNA from 1 species